rnacentral:rRNA from 1 species
UACGUAGGGGGCAAGCGUUGUCCGGAUUUAUUGGGCGUAAAGAGCGUGUAGGCGGCCAGGUAGGUCCGUUGUGAAACCUGGAGGCUCAACCUCCAGCGGUCGAUGGAAACCAUCUGGCUAGAGUCCGGAAGAGGAGAGUGGAAUUCCCAGUGUAGCGGUGAAAUGCGUAGAUAUUGGGAGGAACACCAGUGGCGAAGGCGGCUCACUGGACCGGUACUGACGCUGAUGCGCGAAAGCGUGGGGAGCAAACGGG